GUGAGGAAUUUUCCGCAAUGGGCGAAAGCCUGACGGAGCAAUGCCGCGUGAAGGAUGAAGGCCUAUGGGUUGCAAACUUCUUUUCUCAGAAAAGAAUUAUGACGGUAUCUGAGGAAUAAGCAUCGGCUAACUCUGUGCCAGCAGCCGCGGUAAGACAGAGGAUGCAAGCGUUAUCCGGAAUGAUUGGGCGUAAAGCGUCUGUAGGUUGUUUAAAAAGUAUUCUGUCAAAGAUUAGGGCUUAACCCUAGAUAGGCAGAAUAAACUUUUAAGCUAGAGUUUGGUAGAGGCAGAGGGAAUUCCCGGUGGAGCGGUGAAAUGCGUAGAUAUCGGGAGGAACACCAAAGGCGAAGGCACUCUGCUGGGCCAAUACUAACACUGAGAGACGAAAGCGAGGGGAGCAAAUGGGAUUAGAAACCCGUGUAGUCC
rnacentral:rRNA from 1 species